AACACAGGUGCUGCAUGGCUGUCGUCAGCUCGUGUCGUGAGAUGUUGGGUUAAGUCCCGCAACGAGCGCAACCCUUAUCAUUAGUUGCUACGCAAGGGCACUCUAAUGAGACUGCCGGUGACAAACCGGAGGAAGGUGGGGAUGACGUCAAGUCCUCAUGGCCCUUAUGGGUAGGGCUUCACACGUCAUACAAUGGUCGGUACAGAGGGUUGCCAAGCCGCGAGGUGGAGCCAAUCCCACAAAGCCGAUCGUAGUCCGGAUUGUUCUCUGCAACUCGAGAGCAUGAAGUCGGAAUCGCUAGUAAUCGCAGGUCAGCAUACUGCGGUGAAUACGUUCCCGGGUCUUGUAACACACCG
rnacentral:rRNA from 1 species